UGUCGUCAUCUUCUCUAAGCAGCAAUGUUUUCAGUAUGAAAAUGAUGAACUAAGGCGCCGUAAUCAUGAGGAUCCUCUCUACAAUGAAGAUGAACAAGACGAAGCACCUGCCUUUAAAAGACGUCGAUUCAAUGAUGUUAAACCAUUAGGGUAAUUUAGCUUAUAAUAUUUUUAAUAUGUUUUAUAUAUAAAACGUGUUUAUGUUGUUAAAUUUUAUAAAAUCA